AGUGAAUGAUGGCAGAACAUUACAGUUCCAGAUGAUACAUACUGAGUAUAUAAUUUUGUUUAUUUCUGACAUU